ACAUACUGCCAGUCAAUCAUAUUUUUAAAGUGCAAAUUGCAAGAGUCGUCUGUAAAAUAUUGUUAAAAUGAAGUUAACAAGUUUAUUUAUUUUUGUUAUUGUCGCGUUGUCGCUAUUAUUUUCGAGUACCGACGCAGCACCGGGUAAAAUUCCCGUGAAGGCUAUAAAGCAGGCUGGCAAGGUCAUUGGAAAAGGUCUACGAGCAAUAAAUAUUGCUGGCACCACACACGAUGUUGUUAGUUUCUUCAGGCCUAAGAAGAAGAAGCACUAGACGUGUAAUGUUUAAACGAUAACUUUACAAAUUGAUAUUAUAUAGUAAUUACUUAAUAGUGUUUUGUAAUGGUAUUUAUAUUAUGUACGAAAAUUGCAACUAAUUUUAUGAUGUUUUGACUAAGUUAUGCCUGCCGUUCUCCCUUCGGAAUCUUCUGUGAAUUCUCAGUUAAACAAUGUAAAAUAAUUACCUUUUGCAUAAAAUAUUCAACAAGACAUGGAAUAUUAUUUUAACGAAACUGCUUUCUUUAACCUUUGUCCUCAUUUCAAAAUAACUUUUGUAUUCACAUCAAAGUUAAUGGUCCCGAACUUUAUACAGUGCAUCGUUUAUUAUUCAUCUUUCAAUAUAGUAUGACAUAUUGUAAUGCAUAAUGAUGGAUGGUUUGCUAAUUAUUUGAAUUUCGCAUUAUAGGCUGUGUUAGAAUAUAAUAAAAAAGUAAAAAAUAUGUGGCGGGUAAAAUGAUACCUCAUAUUGUAUUAUCGUUAUUUUAAACUUUAAUAAUAAAGCAUUUGUAAUUACGGAAUAAAGCAUUUUAUUAUAUCUUA